GUUCUUGUUAACUGCUGGAAUUGGCCUGCCUGCUUGUCGCCAUGAGGGGUUUUCCUCCUUCCCCCCCCCUGCUGUUGGUGAUGGCUUGUCUUGGGUGGUCGCUCUCCUUGCAGUGUGUGUGGUGAACCCGUUGUUUCAUGUUCUCUGUGUGUGUGUAUGUAGAUCUCUCCUCUGUUUUUUCCACCGGGUGCAUCCGGUGGGGUGGGCUGUGGCUCGCGAAAGCUUGUGCUCUAGUGGAUUUGUUGGUCUCUGGGGUGCCACAAGUACUCCUUUUCUUUUUGCGAAUACAGACUAACACUCUGCUACUCUGAAACCAAUACAGGCUG